rnacentral:rRNA from 1 species
GACGUGACUUCAGAGUUUGAUCCUGGCUCAGGACGAACGCUGGCGGCGUGCCUAACACAUGCAAGUCGAACGGAGUAAGACGCUGGUUGAUAGCUUCGGCAGGAUUCCUUGUCUUACUUAGUGGCGGACGGGUGAGUAACGCGUGAGCAACCUGCCCUUGAGUGGGGAAUAACGUUCUGAAAGAACGCUAAUACCGCAUAACAUAUCGGAGUCGCAUGGCUCUGAUAUCAAAGAUUUAUCGCUCAAGGAUGGGCUCGCGUCCGAUUAGGUAGUUGGUGAGGUAACGGCUCACCAAGCCGACGAUCGGUAGCCGGACUGAGAGGUUGAACGGCCACAUUGGGACUGAGACACGGCCCAG